CGAGUUGUAUUCUGGAGAAGCGUUUUCCGUGCUGGACCGUGUACAAGUCCCUUGGAACAGGGCGUCAUAGAGGGUGAGAAUCCCGUCUUUGACACGGACUGCCAGUGCUCUGUGAUGCGCUCUCGAAGAGUCGAGUUGUUNGNGAAUGCAGUUCAAAACGGGUGGUAAAUUCCAUCUAAAGCUAAAUAUUGGCGAGAGACCGAUAGCGAACAAGUACCGUGAGGGAAAGAUGAAAAGCACUUUGGAAAGAGAGUGAAACAGUACGUGAAAUUGUUGAAAGGGAAACGCUUGUAGUCAGUCGCGUCUUCUGGAACUCAGCCUUGCUUCUGCUUGGUGCACUUUCCAGUUUGACGGGUCAGCAUCGGUUUCGGUGGGGCAGACAAAGGCGGAGGGAAGGUGGCCGCUCCGGCGGUGUUAUAGCCCUCCGUUGUGCGUGUCCCCUGGGACCGAGGAAUCCGGCGCUCGUCGCCUGGGAUGCUGGCGUAAUGGCUUUAAGCGACC
rnacentral:rRNA from 1 species